CCCCUAGACGUUCUGGGCUGCACGCGCGCUACAAUAAUACGCACAGCGAGUAUCACCGAGCUCGAAAGGGCAAGGUAAACAAUAGAAAAGGUACUGUAAUGGUUAUAGAUCCUUGUAAUUAUUGAUCUUCAACGAGGAAUUCCUAGUAAGUAUGUGUCAUCAUCACGCACUGAUUACGUCCCUGCCCUUUGUACACACCGCCCGUCACUCCUACCGAUUGAGUGAGCCGAUGAAACUGCCGGAUGUGGACUAUUCAUAGUCUGCAGAAGAUAUUUGAAUCGUAGCGCUUAGAGGAAGGAGAAGUCGUAACA
rnacentral:rRNA from 1 species